rnacentral:rRNA from 1 species
CCUACGGGAGGCAGCAGUGGGGAAUUUUGGACAAUGGGCGAAAGCCUGAUCCAGCCAUUCCGCGUGAGUGAAGAAGGCCUUCGGGUUGUAAAGCUCUUUCGCAAGGGAAGAAAACUUAUAUUCUAAUAAAGUAUGAGGAUGACGGUACCUUGAUAAGAAGCACCGGCUAACUACGUGCCAGCAGCCGCGGUAAUACGUAGGGUGCGAGCGUUAAUCGGAAUUACUGGGCGUAAAGCGUGCGCAGGCGGUUUUGAAAGUCAGAUGUGAAAUCCCCGAGCUCAACUUGGGAACUGCGUUUGAAACUCCAAAGCUAGAGUAUAGGAGAGGGGGGUAGAAUUCCACGUGUAGCAGUGAAAUGCGUAGAGAUGUGGAGGAAUACCAAUGGCGAAGGCAGCCCCCUGGCCUAAUACUGACGCUCAUGCACGAAAGCGUGGGGAGCAAACAGGAUUAGAUACCCUGGUAGUCCACGCCCUAAACGAUGUCUACUAGUUGUUGGUGGAGUAAAAUCCAUUAGUAACGCAGCUAACGCGUGAAGUAGACCGCCUGGGGAGUACGGUCGCAAGAUUAAAACUCAAAUGAAUUGACGG